CCGUGCUAGGCGGGGAAUUAGCGGUGCCCUGCACCCGCAAGCCGCUAUAGCGGGGCUGAACUCCCAUCCGAGGGGGGAGGCCUUCGGGGUCAGUACGCCGCCCUGAGGCGUCGACGGCCGGGUCCCGCGCGGUGAGCGCUCGCGAACCAGGUCAGAUCCGGGAGGAAGCAGCCUUAAGCGAGAUCGCUCAUGCGCCGCGGACUCGCCUGGCCUGAGCCAAGGGACGGCGGGCACGCCCGAGGACCCUCCUCGACGGUGGGUGCACGG
rnacentral:SRP_RNA from 1 species